GUCCACGCCCUAACGAUGUUUACUUGCUGUUCGAUUUCGGAUUGAGUGGCGAAGCGAAAGCGAUAAGUAACCACCUGGGGAGUACGCUCGCAAGGGUGAAACUCAAAGGAAUUGACGGGGUCCGCACAAGCGGUGGAGCAUGUGGUUUAAUUCGAUGAUACGCGAGGAACCUUACCUGGGCUAGAAUGUGAGAGGCGGAUGGUGAAAGCCAUUUUUCCCGCAAGGGACUCGAACAAGGUGCUGCAUGGCUGUCGU
rnacentral:rRNA from 1 species